rnacentral:lncRNA from 1 species
UGAGCACUGCCAUAGCCUCUUUUUAUAGUAGUGAGAAGAAAAAGAACUCAUCUGAAUGAAGAUGGUCACGAUCUCUCUCUAUCGUCUCCCAAUGCUCUGCUGCUCAAUCUUGUCCAGAUAAGCAUCAAAGAGCAUCCCCUCAAUCGCGCGAUGGACAGUCUUCCAAUCCUUGAUGGUGGUAUCCAUGAAAAAUGAGGAUGGGCCCUCUCUCAACCCAACAGGUACUUCGACGGAGUUCGGACUUGAUUGUUUAGUCCGAACAGAAGUCCCCUUGGCUCGAGGGGCAAGGAGAGCUGCUGGCAUCGAGGGACGAGAUUGGAUCGGGGGAGCCGAUAUGACUCCCACUUGAGUGGAAGCCAAAGGGAGCGCCUCUCUCUGAAUGGCUUUGGAGGGCCUCUGCUUCUUCUGGGCUUCGAUGGCAGCUGGUAAGGACACGUUCCUCUUCUUUUGUACAUUCUUCCUCCUCAACCUUCAAGUUCUUCGGGCCUCAUAUCUGCAUCAAGUCAGAAUAAGUUAAAAAGAAAGAGUGGGAGAAGGAGAAAGUGAACUUCAAAAGCUACUAAACAAAUCUUUGGGGUCAGUCGAACUGAGACU